ACGGAAGGCAGCAGUGGGGAAUAUUGCACAAUGGGCGAAAGCCUGAUGCAGCGACGCCGCGUGAGUGAAGAAGUAUCUCGGUAUGUAAAGCUCUAUCAGCAGGGAAGAAAAUGACGGUACCUGACUAAAAAGCCCCGGCUAACUACGUGCCAGCAGCCGCGGUAAUACGUAGGGGGCAAGCGUUAUCCGGAUUUACUGGGUGUAAAGGGAGCGUAGACGGUUUGGCAAGUCUGAAGUGAAAUGCGGGGGCUCAACUCCUGAACUGCUUUGGAAACUGUCGAACUAGAGUGCAGGAGAGGUAAGUGGAAUUCCUAGUGUAGCGGUGAAAUGCGUAGAUAUUAGGAGGAACACCAGUGGCGAAGGCGGCUUACUGGACUGUAACUGACGUUGAGGCUCGAAAGCGUGGGGAGCAAACAGGAUUAGAUACCCUGGUA
rnacentral:rRNA from 1 species